ensembl:lncRNA
CCGGAGUCCCGGCAGGCCCGCGGGGCGCGUGGCGCGGGCGGGCGUGCGCGGAGGCGGGCGGCGCGCUGUCCCGGCGGCCCUGCUCGAGGCCCGGAGCGCCGGGACCCAGCUCGCAGGCGGCGUGCGGCGCUCGUGGCCGGAGGGCGAGGGUGGCCUGGGAGUCGCGGGUGUCUCCCAAAGGCCCCAGGAGCCCGCUGUCCUCCGCGUGGGAAAGUCCUAGACCAGGUGGCCUAAUGACGGAUUCUGCAGAAGUGAAACCGUCCUUCUGAGGGAGGCAAAAAGGGCCCUGGGACAGAGCCCGCACAGGAGCCCUCAGCGUCCAGCCGCUGCUGUCCGAGCAAUGCUGGAGGAGCCUCCGGGCCUCCCUGAGCCCCACGUGCCCAGCUCCGCUGCAAGCAAAAAAUAUUAGAGCUGAUCCCAAGUUACUUCAAAUGUGAAACAAGCCAAAUCAGAAAAAGAGCAGUUCGGAGAGAGAGAUGUCGCUGGUUAAGACCAGGAGGAAGUUUAUGGUCAAGGUGGCUUGCCAGCGCCUCUGUCUGCCCAGGGGGCAUUCACCAGCCAUCUCGUCCUCAGGGAAAGGCCGCACCAGGGACUCUGAAGCUGGCUCCCUUCACGGAAAGAAGCGCUUGCUCUUUCCAGUGAGAAGGAAGGGGGCCUCCCUGGUGGCUCAGAGACACGAGUUCGACCUCUGAUCCGGGAAGAUCCCACAUGCCGCGGAGCAGCUAAGCCCGUGGGCCACAGCUACUGAGCCUGUGCCUCGGGGCCCGGGACCCACAGGGACUGAAGCCCAUGCACCUGAGAGCCGGGACUCCGCGACGAGAAAAGCCACCGCGACGAGAAGCCAGAGCACUGCAACUCUCGAGUGGGCCUGCUCGCCGCUGCUCGAGAGAGCCCUCGCCAGCAGCGGAGACCCCGCACAGCCAGCAAUGGAGAGACCCAGUAAAAAGGGAGGGAAGGAGGCUGGCUUUAGCAACAUGUGGGGGUCAUUCCUCACUGCUUAGACCUCCACACGGGGGUCAGCUGUCAGCCUGCGCACACCCUAACCCACGAGCAAGGCCCUGCCCCAGACGAGGCUCCCUGCACGGGGAGGACAGCGAACGCGUCGUCUCGGCUUUGCCGCCAGUGAGGCAGGCGUGAGCGUCCGCGUGAAGAUGCUGGGCUCUGGAGACACAUUGCUUCUCAUGUCUUCUCCCACUUCUUACCUUCAGAAUAAAUCUUUAAACAGAGCAUUACCAGAUUCUUCACAGAGGCAGGCCGCACAGAGCAACCGCGUUGUCUGCUGUGAAUACGAUAUCUUUUAAAAUCUCCAUCCCAACUAUGGGCGGGUUUCCUCCCAUAAAUCUAGGCUGCCUGGCUCAGAUCAAAUUCCGCUUCUCAAGCAAUUUCACAGCUAAAUCCUCCCAAGUCAUUCGUAACAGUUUCUUUACAAAGGACAUGAGACUGGCGGUGAGCCUUUACUGACUCACAAAGCAUUUACCAUUUUCCUGUUUUUAGAAUCCUUAUCCCUUUCGAGUGGGAUUCUAAAAAUAUCAGCUUAAGCCACCC